rnacentral:rRNA from 1 species
GACGAACGCUGGCGGCGUGCUUAACACAUGCAAGUCGAACGAUGAAGCCGGAGCUUGCUCUGGUGAAUUAGUGGCGAACGGGUGAGUAACACGUGAGUAACCUGCCCUUGACUCUGGGAUAACUGCUAGAAAUGGUAGCUAAUACCGGAUACGACCCUCGGAGGCAUCUCCAGGGGGUGGAAAGAAUUUCGGUCGAGGAUGGACUCGCGGCCUAUCAGCUAGUUGGUGAGGUAAAGGCUCACCAAGGCGACGACGGGGAGCCGGCCUGAGAGGGUGACCGGCCACCCUGGGACUGAGACACGGCCCAGACUCCUACGGGGGGCAGCAGUGGGGAAUAUUGCACAAUGGGCGCAAGCCUGAUGCAGCAACGCCGCGUGAGGGAUGACGGCCUUCGGGUUGUAAACCUCUUUUAGCAGGGAAGAAGCGAAAGUGACGGUACCUGCAGAAAAAGCACCGGCUAACUACGUGCCAGCAGCCGCCGUAA